ensembl:lncRNA
UUUGAAAUGCCUUUAGCCUGUUUUAGAGGAAUUUAAUUCUGUUUGCUAGGUAGAAGAGCCUGCAUCUUUGUAAAGCAGACUAUUAAAAUGCUGCCUGUGUACUUAAUGCUCUGUGAAGUUAUCUAAUGGGCAUUAUCUCAACCAUUAAAUGUCUCAAGCACACAAGUUGGAAGGAGAUGUGUCCUGUGGCUCCCAAGCCAUCUGUUGAGAUCCUGUAUUUUCAUGUAGUCAGGUGUAAACUGUUUAAUUUUUUCUAGUGCUUGAACUGGUAUUAACUGGAGUUUGGUUGCCUGGUUGAAUCUUCUGCUACAUUAAGUUUCUAUUCCUCUAGUUUUUGAAGUAAUAUCCUGCAGAAAUCUUGUCUUGGAAAGUGUUCAUCAUGAGAUAAGGUCCUUAUUAUUUUUCACGCAGUGUGCUACAGUAUUUUUUUACAGAGUAGGUCUUGCCUUAUGCAGGAAAAACAGAAGGAAGUCUGUAACAAAAGUGUGUGCUUUUGGUUACCAGAGAUGCCCAAAAGUGCAGGAGUGCCUAUUAAAGUAUUUUCUGUUGUUGUUUCAUAUUUUUAAAUGUUGAAUUAAUAAAUUAUGUUCGCCUUCUAUAGUAGAACUUAAUCUACUGGCUUUCGUUAUCCAGCCCAUUAAUGUCUGGAUGAAUUACAGCAACUGAUCAACUGCUAAUCUAAGCUUUUAGAGCAAUGUGUGUGACAACUUGGGGAUUUAUCUUUAGUUGGAGUUCGUCCAUCUUGAACUUUCCAACCAUUGGAUCUCAUUCUGCCCUUGUGUGUUACAGGUAAAAGGUUUCUAGCCAAUCUUCUGUGGAUACAUAAAAAUUUCUGAUGAAGUCCAUUCCUAAGAUUUCGCUUGAUAAGCUAAAUUUAGAACACUUCUGAACCUGUGUUUUAACAUACUUAUUUUAACUGUAUCUGCAAUAUUUAUAUUAUAUAUUGCUUGCUGGUAGGAGAUGUUAAUUUGAUUGCUCAUUGGCUCCACAUGAAACUGGUAACUCUUGGUAACUCUUCUGUUGUGUCUUUUUGCCUCACUAAUUUCCCUCCACAUUAGACUUUCCAAGAGUUUGAGGCAAGUGUGUGUGUGUGUGUGUGUGUGGUGGGGAAGAGAAAACAUGUCAGGACACUGUGUUAGAGGUACUUCAAUCAUUUUACUUUUUACUUUUGGAGAUAUGGAGAAUGUAGAAGAGAAUAGCAAAUCUUUACAGCAAGUCUGUAAAGCUGUAGCUUGGCCUUCCAUGUUAAUAUAUAUUUUCAUAUUUCUGUGGGGAUAUUGGGUUAAGUCACAGUGAAAAUAAUGUUGCAAACCUGCUUCUGAGCAUGGAUUUUUAACUUCCUUCAUCCAUUUCAAAAGUUUUGUUUUUGCUGAGUCUUAUGAUAUGAAUAUGGGGUUCCUCUAACUAAUCCUGCCAGUUAUUCAAGGAAGCUUUUUGGUUUUUGUUUCUAGAAAAUUAUCUUUAGUUCAAUGACCUUUCUGCUGGUAAUCAGUAGGGAGUUCAGAGGUCACCUGCUUUUCCUGCUAGAAGGCAAGAAUUCAGUUUUUUUUCGAGAGAAUUCUUUUCCAUCAAGAAACCUUUUGUAGUCUGACUUUGUGGAUGUUUUUUUUGAUGUAUGGACAUGUGGAUAAUCCAAAUUCUAAAUUCUGUAAUAUAAUCAAAAACUGGAGGACAGCUAGGACAUUUUAAGUUUUCAGUAGCAGUUAAGACUCACAUUGUUAUCAGCAGUCGUGCAGAAACUCUUCCUUUAGUUGUCUGAUCAUGUAGUCAUGUUUUUACUCUGUGAAGCAAGGCAGUCAAGUCAUGGGAGCAGAGGUUUAAAGAUUUUGCUUUUACACUAAUUUCUUGUCAAGUAUGUAUUGUUUUAUGUGUAAUUCACAUAAUUCAUAAUGCUUUAUUCAUAAUUCAUUAAUGCUUUUUUUGGUAUCAGUUUCUAGGUUAUUUGGGUGAGAGUUUCUGACUUGCUUUUACUUUUGCAUAGGAAGAAACAGAUGAAUUGAUUAUCAGGUGAGAUGAGCUGCAGCAGAAUUUGUAUUCAGCAGCGACAGAAUUAAUUUUGGAAGUGGAUCAACUGCCCCUCUCUGAGCACCCAAGAGCAUUACAGGAUGAUAAAGUUAAAUCCCUUCUGCUGAAUUUGUUCUGCUGUAACAGACUGAUGCCUGAGCAGGUGCUGAGGAAUGAUUGCUUCCUUGCAGUUGAUGUGAUUCCAGUUUCACUGCACCCAGGUGAAAAAUAUGAGCCUCAUAAAAACCAAAAUUCUGAAACAACAGAUUAAAAAAGGGAUUAACCAAGGAGAAUGGAGCAAAACCCUACUCAAUAGAUGAAAACUUUUCCAUCAGGUGUUUGAGACUUCUGUUUUGAAAUCAUUGCCCUGAUCUGAAAUAUCAAAGUAUAAAAGGUUUGGUAGGUGCAUUAAUUUUUUAAGAUUAUACAGUCUUCACUGUUUUCUUUUCAGUAUGUUUUAUUCUAAUUAAGUAUUUGGAGUUAUAAGUGUGAUUUUACUGGUUGUAUUCUUGGUUUGUCAGCCUUUUUCUUUACUCGUAUGUAGACUUUAAAUUUACAGAGACCAGUCCUGUUAGAUGCCAGAGAUCUUUAAGAUGAAACUUUAGUGAGUUGGUUUUUUAUUGAGUUUUCUAUCGCUCUUCAUGCUCUAAAUACAGAGAACAUAUUCCUCUUAAAGAUGUUACAGGAUAGUAUUUUGCUGAAUAAUUUUUUUAUUACAUAGACCGGUUGUUCUUACAGUAACUGCCUUCAGGAUUUAAGUAAACACCCCAAAAUUCUGCUUUGAAAACUGAUAAAAGAAAUGGUGAGCACCCUUCCUCUUUUCUUUUUUGCCUUUGAAAAAUGCAAUUGGCUUUCUAGAGAGCAGCCAUUCUUCUACUUGCUCCUUUGCUGUGCUGCUGCCAACCAAAAUAUUCUACACACACCUUUGCAGAACUGACUGUUUUUGCAAAAGCUACUGCUCUGUGUGCAUAUAUCACCUGUUACUAAAUGUUUUUUUGCAGUAGCUAUGAGGGUGUGAUUUUCAUGAAUGGGUUUGUUUGGCUGCAGCCCUUGGCUGUUGAAACUUCUAUUGAAAAAUGUUCUAUUUUCAAUUGAAAGUUUUUCUAUUUUUCUAUUGAAAAAUGUUGUCAGCUCUUUAUCUGUACAGGAAAUUGUAGUUUAUCUUUAUGAAGGUUUCCUUUCUUCUCAGGAAGGAACAGGUCAGAGUGUGCAGUGUUGCUGUAGCAGUAUAUUUAGCCUCUGGGUGUUGCUCUUGGACAGCACUGUUGGCAGAUUGCUAUUUUGCAGGAGAGUUACUGAAGCUGCUUGUUGUUGGAUGUAGAAUGUCAAAAUGCAGUAAUAGGCAAGCAGCACCACCAGGGGAAUUUGGGACCCCUCAGGUACAAUAAUAUGGUUCAUAGUGGGUAGAAGAUACCCUUGGCAGGCUCAUAUUUGAUAUUAUUAUUGGUUUUCUAUCCUUAAACCAAAAUUAGAUUUUUUUUUAAUAUGGAAUAGUGUGUAAGAUGCUCAUCCUCUUUUCAUUACAUGAUGCUGAUAUUUUUGAUUUCUGUAAAGUGUACCUAACCAAAGACAGUAAAAUACCAAAGUAUUUUUAUGACAUAAAAAGUGUUUUUAUGUAGAUUUUUUGGUUAAAGUGAUAAAUAUUUUCAUUACAGAAAUCACAGAAGAAUAAUACCUUGUCAAUGAAUAUAAACAUUUAAGAAGUUUUGUGGAAUGCUUUCCAAAUACUGAUUGCACUCUUUCCCUAUUAACUAACAUUAUAAUAAUUUAAUUAUUAAAAUUCUUACUCUAAUUUCAAUGAAUGUUAAACCCUGAAGAGAGGUUAGACUAACCUGAAUGUUUGUAUCAUGCUGUGUAACAAACGUUAGAAUAAAUUUUUGCCUGGUUUUCCUGCUCUAGAAUCCAUGCAAACUAAAGUGUACUUAAAUCCCCAAAUUGUUAACCUUGUUGCUUUUCUGAAGUGAGAAGUAUUCAUUUAUGCUUGACUAAAAAAAAUAAAUUUGCAGAUCAUUUAAAAUU